rnacentral:rRNA from 1 species
CAGUAGCCGCGGGAAAACGGAGGGUGCAAGCGUUAAUCGGAAUUACUGGGCGUAAAGCGCGCGUAGGCGGUUACUCAAGUCAGAGGUGAAAGCCCGGGGCUCAACCCCGGAACUGCCUUUGAAACUAGGUGACUAGAAUCUUGGAGAGGUCAGUGGAAUUCCGAGUGUAGAGGUGAAAUUCGUAGAUAUUCGGGAGAACACCAGUGGCGAAGGCGACUGACUGGACAAGUAUUGACGCUGAGGUGCGAAAGCGUGGGGAGCAAACAGGAUUAGAUACCCGUGUAGUCCCUGUCUCUUAUAC